CUCUUUUUCUUGUUCUGUGGACGAAGUAGUGUUUUUUUGCAUAUACACAACCUUUCAGACCAGCCUUUCUCAAACGUCAUUUCACGGUUGUCAGAGAUAUGGGUUUCGACCUUGUCAUGUUGAUUUCCUCCCUUAUUUUUGGUGCUGUCUUUCGCCGAUCUCUCUUACUGGUGACAAUGCUAUGUUUAUCCUCUGCUUUUGUAGUAACUCUCUUUUGUCCAGGUCUUUUUCUAUCAUCAUAACUUCCAGGUUCCUCUAGUCUCUUCAGAGUGUAGUGGACUCCUUUGUUCAACACCUUUAGGCGUUUUGCAAUUUCUCUUUCUGUGCAUCCUUCUUUCCUCAAUGUACAAAUCUGUACUUUUGUUUCUUUACUCAGUUGCUUCUUUCUAGCCAUUUUUGCGGUAGUUUUAAUGCAGUUGAGAUUUAUUAGGAUUUUUGUAUGCAGACCCUCAAAAGCCAAAAAGUUGAAGUGAAUAAUCCAACUGUGAUUUGUUUUUUUGCUUUUGCACUGAAGUUGUGACUCUUGCAAAUGUUUUCAACCCUAAAACUAAGCCCUUAUUUUCUUUUGCUGACAUAUAUUUUGCAAUGGUCUGUUAACAUCAAUGUAUAUCUAAAGGUAAAUGGAGUAAAAUGGUGCAUUUCCAUGAAGGCAACAUCUGAUCAUGGAGUAAAUACAUCCCAAAAUAUAUAAAACUCAUGC